GUUUUAUAUUUAUUCUAUUAAAACCAUAUGAUAUAAAAUUGUUAAUGUUUACCUUUAUAAAAAUAUAUAAAAUUUACUAAUUCACUAAAAUUCUUUGACAAUCUCUAUCACAAUCUAUUAAACAAGGUGCUGGUGAACUUUGUGGUUUAGUAAAAUUUUGAACACAUUCAAAUAACUUUUUAUGACACAUUUUAUUUCUUCUUGUAAUUUGUCUUUUAGCCUUUGCACAAUCAUCUAACAAAUAAUUACACCCUGACACAUAUGUUUCCAAUUCAGAGAUAUUAAGCUGUUGCUCACGAAACUCUAUCAUAAAAUUAAUAUAUUUUCUAUUCACAUUCGUAAUUUCUUUAGUUUUAUUUUGUAUGGUUUCUUCUAAUUUUAAAAUUGAUGUUCCCAGAUGAGCAUAUAUUUUGCGUACUUCUUCUUGAUGAGCGGUUUGGAUUGCUCUUCUGUCAAAUGUGUUUCGGUCUGUUAAAUUAUUAAGGAGAGAUUGGUAAUAUUUUUCUUUCAUUUCCAGUUCAUAAACUUUAUCUAAGUAAAGUUUGGUGCAGUUAUUUACCAAAUAAAAGUUUUUUAUGUAAUCUACUGCUGUUGAUUGUUUGGGCGAAAUAACUUCGACGUUAAUUUCAUUUGUUAUUUUAUUAAGUUUUGUUAAUUGAAAACUUUCAGAUUGCACUAAUAUACAUAAACUAACUGUAACUAGCAACUUGAAAAAAACCGCCAUGAUUACACCAUAAAAAUAAAUUAUACUAACUUAAAUAAUGAUUAGCAUAUAUUUAUAGUAAAUAAUUUGUUGAAUUAGCAUUUUAAUUAUCAUUAAAAAUAUGUUUUAUCACACCAGCGAUUGUUUUUAUUAUUUAAAAAGUUAAUUACUUCUAUUGAGAAGAAUGUUCAUUUUUUUAUUUUAGUUUUAUUUAAUAUUUUAUUUUUCGUCUUAUUCUUAUUUUUGAGGGUAAUAUUAAUUUUAGUGUAUAGAGUGAUAUUAUUGAGGUUUCUAUCUUUAAUUAAAAAAAUGAAUUUAAUCCAAUAAAAAUUUUAAAAAGAGCCGAUAUUAAAAAGUUUAAAUACUUGGGGGAUCUGCUUAAUUAAAUAGCCUUUGUGUUAUGCAAAAAUAUUUCUAUAACAAGGAUAUUCUAAUGGUGGCUAGGAGAAAUGUUUCAAUACCUUAAAUUUUUCCCUUAAACCGAGGGUGUUCCUAUGCCAAUAAUGGUAAUAAGCGGGAUGUACUACAUAACACAUUUUUUUAAUUAAAAAAAUAAUCUACUUUUAAUUUUAUAUUGUUUACAGAAAAACAUGUGUUCCAUCCCAACCAUAUUUACAAACGAGGAUGAGUAUUUAGCAUAUUUAUUAUGCUUGACGAAAGUCCCUCCACCUAACCGUUAGUAUAAUUAAAAAAUAUAAUAAUAUAUGCUUUAUUUAACUAAUUUUUAGGUAGAGAAUUUCAUGUAACAUUGGUAAUUCGGGGUAAUGUGGAGGUGUGUCCGAGUUAUACCACCCUCGUGAAUAUGGUAUGGAACAAUAAAAACAUCACAUGUUUUUAUAAAGUGGUGGAUGAUAAUCGACUAUCCAUCAUAAUAAGGUAAUUUUUUUGUUUAAUAUAUAAUGUUUAAUUUAAAUUUAUUUUAUUUUUUUUUUCAGGCUAUAUCCCAUAUAAAAGGAGUAUUUUCUCUAUAUAUGUUCUUUUUCACUAUAGCAAUUUAUUAUUAUUUAUAUUUAUUAUUAUUUUAUUUUUAUUUUCUACUAAUACUAAACAAAUAAAAUUAUCAGAAUUCAUUCGUUUUUCUUUCUUAGUGUCAUUUAUAGUUACACAAAAAGAUGUUUUAUCGUUAAUAAAAAUUUAUUGAUAUAAUCUGCGAUUAGUUAGCUUAUUUAGGAUAUACAGUAUUUCUACUUUUUGGAGUCAAUUCGGAUUUAUCAGAGUUAAAAAAUGUAUAUAAUAUAUACAACAGUUAUAAAAAUGUAAAUAACAAGUUUAUUCUAGCAUCAGUUUCAAACGGUUUGAAACUGAUGCUAGAAUAUAUAAACUUAUUAUAUCAUGCGUAUACUACCAUACAAUACACUCGUAUAAAAAUAAGAAGAAAAUUCUAUACUAAUAUUCUAUACUAAUUCUAUUCUAAUAUUAUAAAAAUCAAGACCAUAGAGGUAUAUAUUGACAUAGAAAGAGUAUCAUUCAAAGCAAAGUGGCGACACCAUCUUUCUUCUUUGGAUUAGUGCUGUUUCACUCUUACGCAUAUUAAGCUGAGACAGUUGUCCUCCUCUUCCGUGUAUAUACUCACACCUUAAUGUCAUCUUAGUUUCUCGGUACGAUGUGUUAGAAAAAGAUAGCGCAAACCAGUCGAAGAGACCGGAAGAGAUCUUGUCGUCAGGACGCGUAUAGUGAGGGCUCUCUCUAUGCUAAUAUUAACUCUAUAAUCAAGACCUUAUUAUGAAACGCUUAUUUACAAAUGAUUAAAAAAGAAGAAAAUUCUAGGCAACUUUUAUACAUGAUAAGAUACUUCUACGUUAUAAAAUUCCAACACCCCCUACACACAAAAUAGAAAAAACCAAUGUUAGCACCAUCUAGUUUUCUAUUCUAUCAUUACUUAAAAUCUAACCAAAUUAUUAUGUUUAUGAGUUUUAUGAUGCCCUUAUAUUUUUCAUGUUGUAAGGUUUUAGAGCAUAAAGGGUGUAUUUAUCAAGUUUUGGGAAAAACUUUGUUUAAAGUUCUAGACCAAAUUAAAAAAUUUAGGUAAGUACUACUUAGCCUGUUUUCAAUUGCAUAAUAUCCUGUUCCUGUAAGUUUGCAUAGGAAGUAUGAAGUCACCAUGUUUUCUAUGUGUUUAGAGAUCCUUUAUUUGUAUUUAACCUAAUUUCCUAGAAAAUUGUAAUUUACCAUUACGGUUGACAAGACUAAUGUUAUUUAUUAAUUUUUAAUAGAAUUUACAGUGUUAUGACUGAUUUUUUGUAAACUAACACUUUCAGUUUUUGUUUCUUGUAUGUAUACAUUUAUUAGUUGAUGGUAAUUUAUUUUUAGGUAUAACAUGCUAGAAGUAAAUGCAGGAAAAUAAAAUGUAGGGAAAACUGGAAAAAUUUUAUCUUUACAGACAAUUUGCAACUUGUUCUACAUUCUUCCAAAUCUAAUGGAUUAAGUUGAUCAGGACAAGUCAUAAAAUUUGAUUUAUGGUCACGUUAUUAAGCAGAUCAAAGAUGGUCUACUGUUUUUCCUUAUGUGAGGAAAACCUCAUAUGAUAGAUGGUCUUAACAGCAUGUUGAAUCCAGAUGGAUAAUUGCAGCAUUAGAUAGAAACCAACCUUGGACAAUGGAGCAGUGUGAUGGAUAUUUGGGUCAUCCUUUGAGAACAAAUUCAAUAUAAAUUAUGUGGGUCAAUUCGAAAAGUGUUUUUGUGGUUCAAAAUAAAAAUACCAAGAUAUUUUGUAUUAUUUAUUUAUUAAAAAAUUAAAACGGCUCUAAUAAUUUUUAAUAUUGUUUUUCUUUGAAAUUCCAUCGUUUUAUUUAAACCUAACUUCAUUAGUUCAGUAAUUUUUUUCUUUUCUGAAACAAUUUUUCUUUGUAUGUCUUUUUUCACCUUUUUUUUCACACUUGUAGGUUGAUUUAAUGCGUAGUUCAUUCUCUGAUGUAUAUUUUUCUUUGUAUAUUAGAAAUUUCUUUGUGUAUACCUAUACAGAACACUCUUCUCGAAUGUAUCCACUCUAAUUUGAAUACUUUUCUCUAAUAACGGGAAUAAGGUUUACCUAAAAGUCUAUCUCCUAUUCGUCUAUGUAAGUGGUUUUUACCAUCAGUACAUGCAAUGUAUCUCAUACCACCACCACACUGGCCUGAACAUAUAAUUUUUCACAACGACCUUUUUUAGAUGUACUCUUUUCCCUUCACCCUGUAUAUGUAUAUUUUAACAUAUUUUACUGGUUGUCGGUCUUUUUUUGACUCGUUUGUCUGAUUAUGUCUGUCGGAUACGUAAUCAGUUAUUUGUCAAUGUUUUUUCAUUGGUUUUACUCGUUUUUCACUCUUUGCUUUAAAAAAUUUUUGGUUUUGCAACUCAAAAUCAGUUAUUUGUCAGCGUUUUUUUUUGACGGAUUUUUACGUAUUAGAGUACAUUUUUCACAGUUUUAUUGUAUUUUACCAUAUUCUAGGCCUUUUGUCUCAUUUAUCCUUUGAUUACAUCUCUUGGAUAUGUAAUCAGUUAUUUAUCAACGUUUUUCUCGUUUUGAGUGAAUUUUACAGUUUUAUUGUAUUUCGUCAAUUUUCGGUCUUUUGUCUCAUUUAUCCUUUGAUGGUUGUAACUAUAAUUAGUUAUUUGUCAAUGUUUUUUGGUUGGUUUUGAGUGAUUUUACAGUUUUAUUGUAUUUCAUCAAUUUUCUCGUUUUUCUUUGAUUACAUCCGUUGGAUAUAUAAUCAGUUAUUUUUCACUGUUUUUGGUUGGUUUUGAGUGAUUUUACAUUUUUAUUGUAUUUUACCAUAUUUUUGGUCUCUUUUUUUCUCGUGUUUUUUGGAUUACAUCCGUUGGAUAUAUAAUCAGUUAUUUUUCACUGUUUUUUGGUUGGUUUUGAGUGAUUUUACAGUUUUAUUGUAUUUUACCAUAUUUUUGGUCUCUUUUUUCUCGUUUUUUGGAUUACAUCUUUUGGAUAUGUAAUCAGUUAUUUAUCAACGUUUUUCUCGUUUUGAGUGAAUUUUACAUAGUUUUAUUGUAUUUCAUCAAUUUUCGGUCUUUUGUCUCAUUUAUCCUUUGAUAACGUCUGUCGUCGGAUAUAUAAUCAGUUAUUUGUCAAUGUUUUUUGGUUGGUUUUGAGUGAUUUUACAGUUUUAUUGUUUUUUACCAUAUUUUUUUGGUCUUUUUCUCGUUUUUCUUUGAUUACAUCCGUUGGAUAUGUAAUCAGUUAUUUUUCACUGUUUUUUUGGUUGGUUUUGAGUGAUUUUACAGUUUUUAUUGUAUUUCAUCAAUUUUCUCGUUUUUCUUUGAUUACAUCCAUUGGAUAUGUAAUCAGUUAUUUGUCAAUGUUUUUUGGUUGGUUUUGAGUGAUUUUACAGUUUUUACUGUAUUUCAUCAAUUUUCUCGUUUUUCUUUGAUUACAUCCAUUGGAUAUGUAAUCAGUUAUUUUUCACUGUUUUUGGUUGCUUUUGAGUGAUUUUACAGUUUUUAUUGUACUUCUCGUUUUUUUUUCAUUCUUUGCUUAAAGAAAUUUUUUGGAAGUCAUUUGUGAGUUAAACCAAAUCUUAUCUAAAAUAUGUAUUUUAUUAAUAUUGCUAAACAUUUUUUUAAUAUAUGUGUGUUUACCUAUUUAAACCAAUAACACAAUGUUAUUAAUUUAGAUAGUUAACAAACAACACAGAAAAGUCAGGAGUGGGUUAAGAAAAGAGCUGAAAUAUUAUUUAAAGUAUUUAUUUUAUUAAUAUUACCUUGUUGAUUUUUGCAUACAUAUCCCAAAAUGAAAGUUAAACAAUACAAUACACACAAUAUAAAUGCUUUUUAAGCACUCCCGUACUAGUUUUUUUGUUCACUAUAGCCAUUUUAAAACACGAUGUUUUUUCUCACUUUCGUAAUCCAAACCGCCGUUAAGAUUUCACUAGGAAGUCAAAUGCUAGCGUUCACUUUUUUAAACACCCCCGUACUAGUUUUUUAUUCACUAUGUCCAUUUUAAACCCGAUGUUUUUAUCACUUUUCGUAAUCCAAGCCGACGGCGCAUUUUGUUCUCGCGUCUGAUUUUUAAAACCGACUUUUUAAGCACAUCCCUUACUAUUUUUUGUUCACUUGUCAUGUUUUAAGAUUUUUUUCCGGUUGCGUAAUCAAAACCGACGUUAGGAUUUUAUUAGCAAGCACCAUGUUUGCUUCCACUUUUUUUAGGCUUUCUAUCGCCCUUAACCGUCUUUGUUCAUACCCACUAAUUUUUUUUAUUAACACCAAUCGCUGUAAUUUGUGUUCUUUUAAAUAAUGUUUAUUAUCGAUUACGAACUUUUUUAAUAACUGGUUAUAUUCCACAUCUGUCUUUUUCACAUUUUCAUCUAUGCUAUCAUAAUUGGUUGUUGUAUUAAGGUCCUCUUCUUCCAUGCUCUCAUUGAAAUCGUCACUAUGAAUUGACACAUCAACAUUAUUGAGUUUUUCUUCUUCACCUUCUGAUGCUGAUGACACAUCAUCGUAUUUUGUUAUGGGGGUGGAAGACGCCAUAACUUCUUGUUCAAACACUUUGUACUCUAUGGGGCGGUGAGCGUUAAAAUCACCCGAAAUCACUUCACAAUUACGGUUUAAGCUGUUUUCUAUGUUUUUAACCCCACUAGGAGUCAUCACAUCAGGUGACAUUUUUAAAUGAUUUAUAAUUUUACGACUUGACCUCGCACAUACCGGUACAGCAAGUUUUUCUUUCAUUUAGGGUACGAACAAGGUAAUAUUAGUCAAACUACUUUAGUGGGGGGUAGUACCUACGGUUUUAUAGCUUAGUGGAAUGGGUUGGGUCCAAAUUUUAAAAUCCCUGCUUUUUUAAUACGCUUUAUUACCCAUGAGCAGGUGGCCAACCAAUGAAAUGUAUGCCGCACCCCCCUAGUGUGUUUUACUACCACAGUACCAAUCUUUAAAAAUGCAUGUACUAUGAUAUCCAACUAAAUCUUAGAUCAUGGCUGGGUGCUUUUAUUUUAAUUUAUUUUUUUAAUUUAUACAAUUAUACAAUACAUUGUAGUGAAACAAGCGUAUUUUUUAAUUAUUACUGUUCGAAUGCAUGAAGUUUUUAUUUCAGUAGAUUGGAACCCAUAAUUUGCAUCUUUUUUACGGCAUUCCUUCUCACUAAGUGUCUGCAUGUGUAACUACGUCGAUUAAGAGGGAAAUAUUUCUUAAUUUAUUCACCGCAUCCUUGCCAUCGUUCCGCGAGCAGGUGGUCCUUAGCAGGUCAAAAUACUUUAUGGAAUUCCGGUAGCUGCUUUUUGCAUGUGUGUUACAAUUAUCAUAUAUUGCAAAUCUUGGUUAAUAAUCAACAAGGAAUAGUUUAUGAAGAAUUGCUCGAGCUACGUGUGCAUUCGACUGUUAUUUAAGAUCUUGAGAUAUGUACUCAUGCAAGGAACAGUUAAGAAUAUAUUUUUAAAUACACAUUGGCUUACUUUUUAUAAAACACUUUAUAUAUUAGGUUGGUGUUAGAGAAUCAUGGAUUCCUUCUAAUGGCGUAUAAUUAUCAUGGUCACUGAUUUUCGUUAAUGCAUAAUCGUUCCUCAUUUUGCUAGUACAAUAUCAUAUGUUCCCCUCCUCUUUUUUAAUUUACUCAAAUAGUGUUAAUUAGACCAAUUAAUAUUCACCCUAGACAACGGAUGUUCACCUAAUUAAUAUUCCACAAUAUUUCACAUAUUUGGACAUACAAUAUAUCUCUACUUGUACAAACCAACAGAAGGGCGGAAUCCAAUAAUAGAAGGGCGGAAAAACAUUAGAACAUAUCCAAUAAGACGACGCUAUUCCUUCACUCUUCUCUUCAACCUUCUGCGUGAUGGCGGAGUUAAGGUUGGGUACCUACUGUAGCGGGUAUGAAAGGUGCGUGGUAUGUACACAAAUUUCAUUGAUCGGGGAAUAUCAUUAUUGUGUCUAUACUAGAGAUUUUUUUAAUAAAAUCUUUGCGAGCAUCGUUUUUGGGGGAUGUGAUGAGCAUAAUAAUUUAACCUAUUAUGACUACCAUCGUAUUCAUCAAAACGUACAGACUUAUCCGCUAAUUAAACAUUUCAUCCUAGAACGGGAUGGGGGGCAACAAGUACAGUAAGAAGGACUUAGCAAAGAAGAUAACCAAAGUAUUUAAACUUUUUCAUGCUCACGUUCAUUUGUUAGAUAUUAAACUAAAAUGUAAACGUGAGCAUGGGCAAGUUAAAUAUGAUGAAGAUGAAGGUUUGUUAGAAGGCCAGGAUGUCGCUUCGUCGUCACGAGCGCCGUCCUCGUCGUCUUUGCAAAGACAAUCUGAUAUAUUGGCUGGCAUUAGCAAUGUCAGCGAUAUAUCAGUAAGUCCCACAUCU